rnacentral:tRNA from 1 species
AUCUUUUUAGUAUAUAAGUACAUCUAACUUCCAAUUAGAAAGCCAAAAAAGAUA